GUGGGAGCAAAGCUUGCUCGCGACGCAGGCGCCUCGGUUUCCAAAAGACCGCGUCGUAUUCAUCGCGAGCAAGCUUUGCUCCCAC
rnacentral:ncRNA from 2 species